rnacentral:tRNA from 1 species
UGGGGCGUCGUUGCAGCGAGCGCUAGAUGCAAAGCCCUGAUUUCAUUGGGCUUUUAGGAGCUAUGCAAGCAUGGGGUGCUAGGGGUCGAGUGUUCGAAUCACUCCGUCCCGACCA